CCAGGGAUUCUGGGCCUGACUGAUUGCUGUCCCAGGACUAGGCUGGUGCAAAGGGACAUUAGGACAGAUCUAAAUCCUUUCAUGGAGAAUAGCCCCAGCACAACAGUGCCAGCUCCACCAGCAAUCAGAAUUACAAUAAACUCAUGCAGCGCUUCAUACCACAGUGCAAACACUAAAGCCACAAAGAUGACCUCUGAAAGUCUCAUACUCCACCUCAAACUCCUUUUGGAACCUGACAGACAAGUCGGAGCUGUCUUAUCUAUGUCUAUUCUGCAGCGUAACUUCCUUGGGACAGGGACUGUCUUCUUACAUGUCCAGUAUGGCUACAAGCACAGAAUUGGGGCUCAAGAAAUAAUCCUUACAAGAAUGUUGAGUGGUGGGUAUGUUGUUUUCUCAAUUUUACAGAUGGACAAACUGAU